rnacentral:rRNA from 1 species
GAUGAACGCUGGCGGCGUGCCUAACACAUGCAAGUCGAGCGGCAGCGCGGGGCGCUCGCACCCUGUCGGCGAGCGGCGGACGGCUGAGUCACGCGUGGCAACCUGCCCCAAAGGGAGGACUAACUGCCCCAAAGGCUAACUCAUCCCGCAUCCUAUCUUCGGAUCACAGGAUUUAUCCGCGUUGGGAGCGGCUCGCGUCGGAUUAGGUAGUUGGUGAGGUAAUGGCUCACCCAGCCGACGAUCCGUCGCUGGUCUGAGAGGAUGACCAGCCAGACUGGAAGUGAGACACGGUCGGGAGUCCUACGGGAGGGAGCAGUGAGGAAUCUUCCACAAUGGGCGAGAGCCUGAUGGAGCAACGCCGCGUGAAGGACGAAGGCCUGCGGGUUGUAAACUGCUUUUAUAAGUGAGGAAUAUGACGGUAACUUAUGAAUAAGGAUCGGCUAACUACGUG